ensembl:lncRNA
GAAGAACUUUAAUCUGGAUGUCAAAGCAGGAAGACAAAGGGGCAAAGGGAGUCCUGGCACAGAGGAAGAACUGUGACUGGGGCAGGAACUCUGUAUAAUCAAAUCUUGGUCAAACUGUGGUCUGGCUGAUCAUUUUCUCAACUCUGGUUCGCUGAGGUGGCUCUGGAGAAGUCUUACCUCUGAAGUGGCCAUUCAGAACUCAAGAGCAACUGCUCUUGCUUGUGUGUGUGUGUGUGUGUGUGUACAGGGUGGGGGCAGCCUCAGUUUCCAUCAGGGGGUAACUCAUCCUGCUUAGGGGGGCUAGGCUCAGAUCUUCCUGCAAAGUCAGAAUUUUGAAAAUUAUACUAGAUUCUUAUCUUGGUGUCCUCGGUCUUGAAGGACAAGAGACAUUAAGUAAACAUACGGCUGAUCAACUUUAUAUUGGCAGCUUUCUGGUCUCCUUAAGGAAUGUGUCUUCUUGCCCCCAUUUCUCCUCAUUCUUGUCCAUCUCUAUACAUUCUCCACUCCAGCAGCUUAAGUCACCUACUUAUUUUCUAACAUGCUCCUCAGCCUCUGCACUUUCCCCUCUCGGCCUGACCCACCUCUCCAUCUGUUUGAACAUGCAAAAGUGUCUUCCAAGGGUCAAUGUGCUUCCUGGGGACACUCUCCCCGUCCUGUCAAAGCUGAGCCAUGGCUUCUCUACAAACUAUGGUGUGCACACCCCUCUCCAGAGCCACUGUACUCCAUUUCUUCCCUCGUGUGCUCUCCUGUCCUCCCUACACUGUAGAUCCUGGCUGUCACGGUUUAGGCUCAGUGAAUGCCCGAGACCUGAGCCCGGUGGGCGUGAAAAGUUACUUUCCCAGUAAGAAGGUGAAGAGGGGAAGACGCCCCGCACAGGUCAGGCCCUAGGACCCUGGGCACCGGUGGCUCCGCCUGGGGUCAUGGGCCAACUAGGGCCAGAGGCCCGGGCUGGAGCCCGUUCCACUCCCAGUCCUGCUCCUGGGCCGCGGUCGAGCCAACAGCCGGGGCGGGCCUCCAGGGCCCGCCAUCGGCAGGUGCGGGGCAGCCCGGCCUUCGCAGCGGCGUGCCCCGCAGGCGAGGGGGGCUCAGGACCGGGCUCCUCAUCUCGGAGGACCGGCGCAGCGCGCUCAGCAGACGGAGCUCAGGCCGCCCGCUCCGGGUCUCCCAGGCGGCGGGCGAGGGCAGCCUGGAAGGCUGGCGGGGUACACUCCCGGAGCCGCGGAAGCGGUCGCGCAGCAGAGCGGCCGGGGUGCCGUCCCUCGCGGCGCUUCCGGCCAGGACCGGAAGCGCGGCCCGGUGAACUACAGCUCCCAGCAGCCUCCGCGGCACGUCCUGGUCGGCGCCGGGGGAGCGGCCGCCAUUGUCCGCGGCCGCCGUGAGGCCUUCGCCCGGGCAGUGGGGCCGCUGCCGCUGCCGCCGCCGGAAGCCGGGGGACGGGAGAGGGGGCGCGGAGAGGUGGCGCCAGUGGUGGGGGCCGGCGCGGCUCUAGGGCGGGGCCGGCGCUGGCUCUUUCCGCGCCGGCUUCGCGCCCGUUGCCCUCGGCCCGCGGCUCGGGCGGGCGCGACCUGCCCCGCCGCGCAGGGGGGCCGCGAGCCAGGUAAGGCGGGCCGCUCGCGGGGCCCGCCCGAGCGGCAGCAGCGGCCCGCUGCCCCAGGCGCUCCGCGUCCCGGCCGGCGCAGGAGGACGUCAGACGUGGGUGGGAACCGCCGGUGCUGGGCGUGCGGCGGCGGCUGGCGUCAGGCGCCGUGGCGUGCGAGCGGCCCGCCGCGCUUUGUUCGCGCCCCGGGCCUCCGGACGGGUCCGCGCUCCGGCGCAGGCCUGCCGCCCGGCAGUCGCUCCGCUCCGCCCCCCGGCCCCGACUCGGCCACGCGCGCGGGCUGGCCAGCACCGGCCUCGAGGUCCUGCAGACUGGGAAUCARGUGCUCUUGGGCAGGUGGUGCUCCUGGACAGGCACCUGGUUGA